CCUACGGGUGGCAGCAGUGGGGAAUAUUGCACAAUGGGGGAAACCCUGAUGCAGCAACGCCGCGUGAAGGAAGACGGUUUUCGGAUUGUAACCUUCUGUUCUUAGUGAAGAAUAAUGACUGUAGCUAAUGAGCAAGCAACGGCUAACUACGGGCCAGCAGCACCGGUAAUACGUAGGUGGCAAGCGUUGUUCGGAAGUACUGUGUGGAAAGGGAGCGCAGGCGGGAAGCCAAGACAGCUGUGAAAACUACGGGCUUAACGUGUAGACUGCAGUUGAAAUUGGUUUUCUUGAGUGAAGUAGAGGUUGGCGGAAGUCCGAGGGUAGCAGUGAAAUGCGGAGAUAUUCGGAGGAACACCGGUGGCGAAGGCGACCAACUGGGAUUUAACUGACGCUGAGGAUCGAAAGUGUGGGGAGCAAACAGGAUUAGAUACCCUUGUAGUC
rnacentral:rRNA from 1 species